rnacentral:tRNA from 1 species
GGCAGUUUUGCUUAAUUGUUCAGAGCACCGCGAUUCGUAAUCAUGGAGGUGUGAGUUUGAGUCUCAUAGCUGGCC